rnacentral:rRNA from 1 species
UGGGGAAUUUUGGACAAUGGGCGCAAGCCUGAUCCAGCCAUUCCGCGUGCAGGAUGAAGGCCCUCGGGUUGUAAACUGCUUUUGUACGGAACGAAAAGGCUCUCUCUAAUACAGGGCGCUGAUGACGGUACCGUAAGAAUAAGCACCGGCUAACUACGUGCCAGCAGCCGCGGUAAUACGUAGGGUGCAAGCGUUAAUCGGAAUUACUGGGCGUAAAGCGUGCGCAGGCGGUGAUGUAAGACAGGUGUGAAAUCCCCGGGCUUAACCUGGGAACUGCAUUUGUGACUGCAUCGCUGGAGUGCGGCAGAGGGGGAUGGAAUUCCGCGUGUAGCAGUGAAAUGCGUAGAUAUGCGGAGGAACACCGAUGGCGAAGGCAAUCCCCUGGGCCUGCACUGACGCUCAUGCACGAAAGCGUGGGGAGCAAACAGGAUUAGAUACCCCUGUAGUCC